rnacentral:rRNA from 1 species
UAGGGAAUCUUCCACAAUGGACGAAAGUCUGAUGGAGCAACGCCGCGUGAGUGAUGAAGGGUUUCGGCUCGUAAAGCUCUGUUGGUAGUGAAGAAAGAUAGAGGUAGUAACUGGCCUUUAUUUGACGGUAAUUACUUAGAAAGUCACGGCUAACUACGUGCC